rnacentral:tRNA from 1 species
GGCCCGUUGGUCAAGUGGUUAAGACACCGCCCUUUCACGGCGGUAACAGGGGUUCGAGUCCCCUACGGGUCACCA